CCUCAGCUUCCCGAGUGCUGGGAUUACAGUAGGUGUGCACCAGCAUGCCCAGAUAUGAAGGUAUACUGUCAAAGGACAUGAGAUAAGAUUUGCUCUAUGUUAAUCAAAGCAAUACAGUUAACUCUAUAGAAAAAUGGAUAAAAUCUCGAAAAGCCAUCUCACAAAUGAUGCUCUACAAUUUGGCAAUACCCUGAAGUCAUCAAAGAAGUGCAAAUUAAAACCACUGCAGCCUUAUUAGAAUGGUUAAAAUGACAAGGGAAAUCCUGAUUACUUACUUCCAUAACUGAGCCACAUUCAGUAUUGAAGAAAACAAAGCGAAGUCAAAGAACUAAUUCAAAAGUUAGGUGUUGCACUUCAAAACUUCCUCGAUUCCAAGCAUGAAAACCUGAGUGAUACUGCCCACCUUCUCGGAAAAAGAAAUGCAAUGGAGAAGAAAGGGGUGAGAAAUAGAUUUGAAAGCAAGCUUAGAGGUCCCAUCACGUUCUCCGCAGGCAGGAGCUGUGCCGCUGAGCUAAAUCCCCACCACCAGUGUCAAAGAUAAGUAAAAUAAUUGAACGUGUGUGCUAGUAAAGACCAAAAAAAAAAAUAGUGAAAGUAGGUACACAAAAACGAUACAAGCGAGUCCACCCAAGUUGCUAAAGUAUGAAUAACAAAGAGAUGUGAACAUACCAAGCAAGGAAGGAUCAUAUUCUACUAAAACUAGAGAGGAUGGAAAAAGCUUACUUUUCCUGUUUAUUUGAAAUGCUCCAGAUUUUAAGGGGAGAGGGCAAGACUAUGGAUGCGGAACUGGAUGUUUAAGGCUGGCACGGUGACUAGGCAAUCAGAGAGCAGGACACAGCAGAAGUACGCAGGAUUGGGCUUUCAAGCCUUUGACA